UUAUUUUUAUUGAAUUAAAUUAUGAUUUUGUAUAACGAAACAUAUUAUAUAUAAUCAGGUUCAUUAGUAUCAAAUGUUUAAAGAAAUAAGUAAAAAAAUAUACUCCCUCCGUCCCAAUAUUAUUGUCCACAAACAAAAAACAUAAAAAUUAAAAAAAACAUUAAUUAACACUAAUUUUAUAUAAUAAAAUGACAGUUUUGUCCUUAUUUUGCAUUUAAUGUUCUAUUAAAUGCUUAAUUGGUUAAGUAAUAAUAAGGGGUAUUUUGGUAAAAAUGUUAUUUAUUUUUAGAAGUGGACUAUUAUUUUGGGACAAACCAAAAAGGAAAGAUUGACUAUAAUUUUGGGACGGAUGGAGUAAAAUACAAUAAUUUAUAGUGACACGUAUAUAAAGUAAAAAAGUUUAAAGUUAACAAACAGAAUUUCAAAUAAUCAAAAAUAUAUAAUAUAUGAAUCGACUCAUACAUGGAAAGUGUUUAUAAAAUUAGCACAAAAACAUAAAAACAAAAACAAAAACAAAAUUCCAUCAAAAUAUAGGCAAACUCAAAUUUAUAUCGACACGUAUGUAAAAAAAAACAAGUAAGUUUUUCUAAUUAACGAACGUAAGUUCUAAAUUUAAAUCGAAACAUUGACCGCUUCGAACAUGUCGAAUCUUUCUCAUCAUGGACACCUUAUUACCUCCUCAGGAUGAGCCAUUGUUGACACUUUAUUACUCAAGUUUGUUGCUUUAAACUGCUCGCAAAUUCAAAUUUUCAAGCAAUCUGCUUUUUUUAGCAAAUAGGUUUUCAAGCAAGAUUUUUCUUACCAUGAUAUGUGUCGUUGGCAAUGGAAGAGGUGGCGUUGGCGAGGUCGGAGGUAGUUGUGUGUGCCUGCUAAGAUGGAGGAGCAUAAGAAGGAAAAUAUGGGUGUCGCUUAAUUAGGGAAAAAGGAAAACACAAUUUAUUAUUUCAUUUGGAAUCUCCUUAGGUCUGAUCGAAUCAAAGCCUUGUUGGCCUAUUCAUGUGCGUAAAAAUAACAAACAAAACACUCUGAAUUAACAGAUUCAACGAGCCUCUUAAUAGAACCAUUAAGAUGCUCAACAAACAACCUCUUAGACGCUUUACAUGUUCACCUUUCGUGGUUUCUUUUCUGGUUUUUUUAAGGUCUUGCUUGAUAUUUUAUAUUUGCUAAAAAAGAACUUCACAAUCGGAAUUUUUGUAACACCCAAAAACUAAUAUGUCUUGAAACCAUCAAGAUUUUAUAUUUUUGCAUAAUUGGUCCCUUGAGUACGUUGGGCGUACCUAUGAGUACGCUUAGCGUACUCUGCAUGAAGGAUCGUGGAGGAGCCUUACGUACGCUGGGCAUACGUAAGGGUACGUCGGGCGUAUGCACCAGAGGGCUAAAACCCUAAAUAUCGGGCGUAUACACCUUUUAGCCUCUUGGACCAAACCUUAUCAGCCUCUUGAGCCUCUUUUCGUCUACCUUCAGCUGUGUUAUUGUGUGUGAGAGUUUUGAGCUUAAGGAGAGGGUUUUUGGUGGCCAUUUUAAAGUUCUUUCAAGAAGAGGAAGUGGUCUAGCAAGCUUGGGUCGGUUUGGUGCUUCAAGGAUCUGCAUCUUGGUCAUCUUGCAAAGCUCCUGGAGCAUGGGAGAUUACAGACUGUUAAGAGAGCAGCUUUUGUAUUUAGCAGACUGAGGUACAUCUGAGCCCAAGGGUAAGGGCAAGGCAUAAUGGCGCGGUGUGCACUCUAUCUCUCUUUCACUGAUAUGUUUGGGGAUACUCUGAUGAUUUAAAAAAAGAUGUAAUGAAUGUUGUUUUGAAAGCAAAUGUGUUUUGUUAAUUAAAAAUGAAAUUUUCCUUGAAAAUCUGGUUCGUUACAAUUUUUUUGCUGUGAAGAUAUCAAUUCCAAUCGAGCAU